UACGGGGGGAGCAAGCGUUGUUCGGAUUUACUGGGCGUAAAGGGCGCGUAGGCGGUCGUGACAAGUCACUUGUGAAAAUCUCCGGGCUUAACUCGGAACGGUCAAGUGAUACUGUCGGACUAGAGUACAGAGGGGCAACUGGAAUUCUCGGUGUAGCGGUGAAAUGCGUAGAUAUCGAGAGGAACACCUGCGGCGAAGGCGGUUCUCUGGGCCUUACCUGACGCUGGAGGAGCGAAAGCAUGGGGAGCAAACAGG
rnacentral:rRNA from 1 species